rnacentral:miRNA from 1 species
UAGGUUGGUGCAAAAGUAAUUGUGGUUCUUGCCAUUACUUUUGCCAUUACUGUUGACGACAAAAACCGCAAUUACUUUUGCACCAA